ACGAACGCUGGCGGCGCGCUUAACACAUGCCAGUCGAACGGAAAGGCCCUGCUUUUGUGGGGUGCUCGAGUGGCGAACGGGUGAGUAACACGUGAGUAACCUGCCCUUGACUUUGGGAUAACUUCAGGAAACUGGGGCUAAUACCGGAUAGGAGCUCCUGCUGCAUGGUGGGGGUUGGAAAGUUUCGGCGGUUGGGGAUGGACUCGCGGCUUAUCAGCUUGUUGGUGGGGUAGUGGCUUACCAAGGCUUUGACGGGUAGCCGGCCUGAGAGGGUGACCGGCCACAUUGGAACUGGAAGACGGCCCAGACUCCUACGGGAGGCAACAGUGGGGAAUAUUGCACAAUGGGCGGAAGCCUUAUGCAGCAACGCCGCGUGCGGGAUGACGGCCUUCGGGUUGUAAACCGCUUUCGCCUGUGACGAAGCGUGAGUGACGGUAAUGGGUAAAGAAGCACCGGCUAACUACGUG
rnacentral:rRNA from 1 species